rnacentral:rRNA from 1 species
AGUGAACGCUGGCGGUAGGCCUAACACAUGCAAGUCGAACGGCAGCACAGUAAGAGCUUGCUCUUACGGGUGGCGAGUGGCGGACGGGUGAGGAAUACAUCGGAAUCUACUUUUUCGUGGGGGAUAACGUAGGGAAACUUACGCUAAUACCGCAUACGACCUACGGGUGAAAGCAGGGGAUCUUCGGACCUUGCGCGAUUGAAUGAGCCGAUGUCGGAUUAGCUAGUUGGCGGGGUAAAGGCCCACCAAGGCGACGAUCCGUAGCUGGUCUGAGAGGAUGAUCAGCCACACUGGAACUGAGACGCGGUCCAGACUCCUACGGGAGGCAGCAGUGGGGAAUAUUGGACAAUGGGCGCAAGCCUGAUCCAGCCAUACCGCGUGGGUGAAGAAGGCCUUCGGGUUGUAAAGCCCUUUUGUUGGGAAAGAAAAGCAGAGGUUAAUACCCCGCUGUUCUGACGGUACCCAAAGAAUAAGCACCGGCUAACUUCGUG